GCGGCCGUGGCGGAAUGGUAGACGCGCAACCUUGAGGUGGUUGUGGGGGCAACCCCGUGGAAGUUCAAGUCUUCUCGGCCGCA
rnacentral:tRNA from 1 species